GUAAGUACUGGUCCGUACUGCGAAGUGGAACCCACCAGCAAGUCAGUUGAUGGAUUCAAACCGCCCAACAUCUUUCCUCAUAGCAACGCGUAUAUAAGAUAAAGAAACGAACAUACGAGCCAAGACUUGGAUAACUUCCGCCAUUCCACCUCUUGGAGAUUUACCACGACGGAAGAAACGUAACCAAGCCCAACCAAAGCCCA